UGCUCUGGGAGUGUUUAUAGCGCUGUGACUUUAACACUUCAUGACUCAGAGCUGCUGCUACAGCAACUUCACCCACAGCUACCAUGACUUUGAUCCCCGUCUUCAUCUGGACACUGAUCUUCUGGACUCAAGAAUGCAGAGGUCAAGCCACAGUAACUCAGACUCCUGCAGUGAAAUCUGCUCUUCCAGGAGAAACAGUCACCAUCAACUGUAGAAUCAGUCAGGCAGUGUACAAGGGCUCAUCUGGUGACCACUUACACUGGUAUCAGCAGAAACCUGGAGAAGCUCCUAAACUACUGAUUAAACUUGUAAAUCAGUUACAGUCAGGUUUUCCAGCUCGUUUCAGUGGCAGUGGAUCUGGAUCUGAUUUCACUCUGACCAUCAGUGGAGUCCAGACUGAAGAUGCAGGAGAUUACUACUGUCAGAGUUGGCAUGAUAUCACUGGCUACUGGUUCACACAGUGUUAUAGAGUCGUACAAAAACCUCCCUCAGUCAGAUUGUAGAGAGACUGCACUGCUGCAGCUGGGAGCGACUGCAGGUGCUGAGUUGUAGGAUGUGAUACGACACAAUGACACUCUGUGGAGGAGAGGAACCACACCAUACUAACUCACAACUCACAUUACAAAUCUCUCAAUAAUCAUCACACCACACUGCACACAGUCCAUCACAUCCACUACUGUAAGAUAAUUCGUUUUUUUUAGUUUGCUGAGGUGCUAUUUGUCAUAACUGAAACUGUUUAGUGGAUAAUUUUUUUUUCAGUCUCUAUCACUAAUCCUGCCCCCAUUACUGUAGCUGCUCCUGACCUGAUAUCAGUUACUGUUAUGAAUCUAGUUGCAGGCUCAUUCUCUUUGUCUGUCU